rnacentral:rRNA from 1 species
UGGUGGGGUGACUUGUCUGCUUAAUUGCGAUAACGAACGAGACCUUAACCUGCUAAAUAGCCCGCAUUGCUCCGGCAGUGCGCUGGCUUCUUAGAGGGGACUUUCGGCUCAAGCCGAAGGAAGUUUGAGGCAAUAACA